rnacentral:rRNA from 1 species
GAUGAACGCUGGCGGCGUGCUUAACACAUGCAAGUCGAACGGUGAAGGCGGAGCUUGCUCUGCUGGAUCAGUGGCGAACGGGUGAGUAACACGUGAGCAAUCUGCCCCUGACUCUGGGAUAAGCGCUGGAGACGGCGUCUAAUACUGGAUACGAGCUGCGAAGGCAUCUUCAGCAGCUGGAAAGAACUUCGGUCAGGGAUGAGCUCGCGGCCUAUCAGCUUGUUGGUGAGGUAACGGCUCACCAAGGCGUCGACGGGUAGCCGGCCUGAGAGGGUGACCGGCCACACUGGGACUGAGACACGGCCCAGACUCCUACGGGAGGCAGCAGUGGGGAAUAUUGCACAAUGGGCGAAAGCCUGAUGCAGCAACGCCGCGUGAGGGACGACGGCCUUCGGGUUGUAAACCUCUUUUAGCAGGGAAGAAGCGAAAGUGACGGUACCUGCAGAAAAAGCGCCGGCUAACUACGUG